CCUCAGCACACCACACUUUGGCAGGGGGCAAGGGGGCUUCUCUCCACAUGCAUUUUUGGGAGCAAUGUCCCCGUAGACUUGUGUUCUUUUAUUCAUUGACUCACACAUUCAUAUCCGGAUGGGCUUUUGCUGAUGCCCCACUAAGCGCAAGCCCCGUGCUGGGCCCUGGACAAGACACCUCCAGCCCUCGGGCAGCUGACUCGGCCAGGGAGAAGCCGGCCCCACAGCCACCUGCCUGUUCCACUGAAUGUGGGGACAGGAGCUCUGGGAGUGCAGAGAGGGGCAGCUUACAGAACACGCUCCCACGCAGAACCCCACUGAGCCUCACACAGCCUGGGACACACGCGGUGCCGUCAUCACACACAGAGACUGUGUCUCCUGCUCAGCAACCCCCAGCUUCAGGGAGCACUCGCUGGACGCACCAGCCUGUGAAAGGCCGCCCCCUGGCGGUCCGCCACUGACACCAGCACCUCAGAGUCCAUAAACUACAAGGUCAAGGUGAACCGGCCACACAGCACAGGUGACAAUGGGACUGAAAGUGUCUAAGGAAUAAGAACGUACCCCCAAGAAGUCUUCGAGAAAGGCCAGCGGUGUGAAUCUGCCUCUUCUUCUCGGUCUGCAUUUCCCUACCUCAUCUUGUGGAAAGAGGGGCAAUUGAAAAUGCUAAGUGGUGUUGGCAUCCACUGUUCCCUUGUCACUGGUCCUUGAAGACUUGGUGUGUCUAGGGUGUGAGUAAGCACGUGUGCAUUUGGAGGACUGUCACUGCUUUUCUCACGUCACUCAAAUCCCUGUAUGGUUAAUUAAAAGCCAUGGCAUCAUCUCUACUGUGACAUGGGAUGAUCCCUGCUCUACGAUCCGUCAUCCUAAUUAGCAAGGAGAGAAGGGAUUUGUCUGCUUUCAAUGUGUAUGUUUUAAAGCUGGCGAAACUCAGAGGAGAUGGGCCUGAGCGAAUCCAGCAUGAAAUUCUAUUCAGAAAAUCGUUUGUGAAUUUUGAAACAUGAUCUUGGGCUUGUUCA